rnacentral:rRNA from 1 species
GUACUACUCUGUGCGGUGGAUCACUCGGCUCGUGUGUCGAUGAAGAGCGCAGCUAGCUGCGAGAAGUAAUGUGAAUUGCAGAACCACAUUGAAACAUCGACAUCUUGAACGCACAUGGCGGCCUCCGGGUUACUCCGGAGGCCACGUCUGUCUGA